GACGAACGCUGGCGGCGUGCUUAACACAUGCAAGUCGAACGGAAAGGCCCCUUUGGGGGUCCUCGAGUGGCGAACGGGUGAGUAACACGUGAGUAACCUGCCCUUGACUUCGGGAUAACUUCAGGAAACUGGGGCUAAUACCGGAUAGGAAUCCUUGCUGCAUGGUGGGGGUUGGAAAGCUUCGGCGGUUUUGGAUGGACUCGCGGCUUAUCAGCUUGUUGGUGGGGUAGUGGCUUACCAAGGCUUUGACGGGUAGCCGGCCUGAGAGGGCGACCGGCCACAUUGGGACUGAGAGACGGCCCAGACUCCUACGGGAGGCAGCAGUGGGGAAUAUUGCACAAUGGGCGGAAGCCUGAUGCAGCAACGCCGCGUGCGGGAUGACGGCCUUCGGGUUGUAAAACGCUUUCAGCAGGGGCGAAGCUUGUGGUGACGGUACCUGCAGAAGAAGCACCGGCUAACUACGUG
rnacentral:rRNA from 1 species